rnacentral:tRNA from 2 species
CCUUGAGUAGCUUAAAGAAAAGCCUCAGCCUCUUGAUCUGAAGAUGGGCUAAGCCCCUCAAGGA